rnacentral:rRNA from 1 species
GCAUCUUCCAAGCUGUCGCUGACCGUAGUGGUCGUCGCGGUGUUUCUGCUCGGCUUGGCGGGCGCCGCCCACGGCAGGAGGAAGCUCGUCUCCAGCGCCAACGACGAGCCGUGCAAGAAGAUGACGCUCUACUACCACGACAUCCUCUACGACGGCGGCAACAACACGGCGAACGCCACGUCGGCAGCGGCCACGGAGCCGACGGCGCUGAGCAAUAGCACCUACUUCGGCAUGCUGGUGGUGUUCGACGACCCCAUGACCAAAAGGAAGGCGCUGCCCGUUGGAAAUGAGCUGCCCACGGCGCGCGCGCAGGGGUUCUACUUCUACGACAAGAAAGGGUCCUUGAACUCGUGGUUCGCUUUCUCACUCGUGUUCAACUCCACGGCGUACAAGGGCACCCUCAACCUCAUGGGCGCCGACCUCAUGGGCGAGAGAACGCGGGACAUCUCCGUCGUGGGCGGCACCGGCGACUUCUUCAUGGCGCGCGGCAUCGCCACGCUCCGCACCGACGCCAUGGAGGGCUUGUACUACUUCCGCUAUGGACAUCAAACUCUACGAGUGCUAUGUCUG